rnacentral:rRNA from 1 species
CAUUAUCGAGUAACAUCUGUUGAAUCUGUAGCUGGCCAAGCUUUGGCAAUGUGCACGAUUUCAACCUUUUACAAACACACACACACUUGUGCAUUCUUUGUAGAUUCUUGUGAGAGGAUCUAUGUAAUUUUAUUUUACAACUUUACUCUGCAUGGCAUGAUGUUGGUUUUAUAUACACAUGAUAUACAACUUUCAGCAAUGGAUCUCUUGGCUCUCGCAUCGAUGAAGAACGCAGCGAAUUGCGAUAAGUAAUGUGAAUUGCAGAUUUUCAGUGAAUCAUCGAAUCUUUGAACGCACCUUGCGCUCCUUGGUAUUCCAAGGAGCAUACCUGUUUGAGUGUCAUUUGAAUUCUCAAGCCAAGGAUUUCUUUUCUUUGGUAUUGGAAUUGGGAGUUGCAGGCGGGGCUGAAGGGUCCGUCAGCUCUUCUGAAAUGUAUAUUAUAUAUUAGCCCGUUGCACGGCUCGAGUUGGAUGUGAUAAUGAUCAUCAUCAUCAUCCCCCCUUGGGCUGGAGUGAGCGGGUGUUGUGCGCGCAGAGAGAGGGGGGGUACUGGUACUUAGUACUAGUACCUAGUACUUGGUGCGCAUUUCUUAUGAAUUGACCUCAGAUCAGGUAGGACUACCCGCUGAACUUAGGCAUAUCAAUAAGCGGAGGAAAAGAAACUAACAAGGAUUCCCCUAGUAACUGCGAGUGAAGCGGGAAAAGCUCAAAUUUAAAAUCUGGCAAUCUUUGGUUGUCCGAAUUGUAAUCUAGAGAAGCGUUUUCCGUGCUGGACUGUGUGCAAGUUUCCUGGAUACGGAACAUCAUAGAGGGUGAGAAUCCCGUCCUUCACACAGACUACCAGUGCUUUGUGAUGCGCUCUCGACGAGUCGAGUUGUUUGGGAUUGCAGCUCAAAAUGGGAGGUAAAUUCCUUCUAAAGCUAAAUAUUGGCGAGAGACCGAUAGCGAACAAGUACCGUGAGGGAAAGAUGAAAAGCACUUUGGAAAGAGAGUUAAACAGUACGUGAAAUUGUUAAAAGGGAAACGCUUGAAGUCAGUCAUGUUUGCUUGGACUCAGCCUUACCUCGGUUUGGUGCAUUUCCUUGCAGACGGGCCAGCGUUCAUGUUGUUUGCCAGAGAAGGAGCGAGAGAAUGUGACUCCUUUGGGAGUGUUAUAGCUCUCACUCGCAUGUGGGGAACAAUAUGGAGUGGUACAGCA